rnacentral:pre_miRNA from 1 species
AUACAAAUUACCUGGGGAUCUUGUUAAAAAGUAGAUUUUGAUUCACAGUUAUGAAAAAGGGCCUGAGAUUCUGCAUGUCUAACAAUAUCCUAGGUGGUACUUAU